rfam:Capsicum annuum cultivar Zunla-1 chromosome 3, whole genome shotgun sequence
CCUUGUGGUUGGGACAUUGCAUGAGUUUUCCAUUGAAUCUUUCCCACACCUCGUACAAGGUUUCACCAUUCAUUUGCUGAAAUUUAGUUAUUUCAUCAUGCAAUUG